rnacentral:rRNA from 1 species
AGUCGAACGGGCUUGGGGGCUUGCUCCCGGGUUAGUGGCGAACGUUGUGAGUAAUAUAUCGGAACAUAUCCGGAAGUGGGGGAUAACGUAGCGAAAGUUACGCUAAUACCGCAUAUGCCCUGAGGGGGAAAGGGGGGGAUCGCAAGACCUCUCGCUUUCGGAGUGGCCGAUACCGGAUUAGCUAGAUGGUGAGGUAAAGGCUCACCAUGGCGACGAUCCGUAGCUGGUCUGAGAGGACGACCAGCCACACUGGAACUGAGACACGGUCCAGACUCCUACGGGAGGCAGCAGUGGGGAAUUUUGGACAAUGGGCGAAAGCCUGAUCCAGCCAUACCGCGUGAGUGAAGAAGGCCUUCGGGUUGUAAAGCUCUUUCAGCCGGAAAGAAAUCGCACUUUUUAAUACGGAGUGUGGAUGACGGUACCGGAAGAAUUAGUACCGGCUAACUACGUGCCAGCAGCCGCGGUAAUACGUAGGGUGCGAGCGUUAAUCGGAAUUACUGGGCGUAAAGCGUGCGCAGGCGGUUUGAUAAGCCAGAUGUGAAAUCCCCGGGCUUAACCUGAGAACUGCAUUUGGAACUGUCAGACUAGAGUGUAGCAGAGGGGGGGUAGAAUUCCACGUGUAGCAGUGAAAUGCGUAGAUAUGUGGAGGAAUACCAAUGGCGAAGGCAGCCCCCUGGGUUAACACUGACGCUCAUGCACGAAAGCGUGGGGAGCAAACAGGAUUAGAUACCCUGGUAGUCCACGCCCUAA